UUGUUAGGAGCUUUAGGGAAGGCUCUUUUAAAUAGGUAUAAGGUUUGAAUCCUAUUCAAAAUCAAACAAUCACUUAAUACAAGUCCUACUUGCAUUAGGAAUCCUUAUUCCUUUAGUUAUUUGAGUCCCUUUAGGAGAUCCUUUAGGUGCCAACUUUUGGAGCCCUUGUACCCAUAAAUACACAUGCCAUAUGGCCACCAUGGGACACCCCAAUCAAGUCCACAUGCCCUCUCUAGUGUGUGCACAUCCAACUUGAUCAAAUCAAGUGGCGCCCC
rnacentral:lncRNA from 1 species